rnacentral:rRNA from 1 species
AGAGUUUGAUCCUGGCUCAGAAUGAACGUUGGCGGCGUGGAUUAGGCAUGCAAGUCGAGCGAGAAUUUUUGAAUUGAAACUUCGGUCGAGAUUCGAAAAGGACAGCGGCGAAAGGGAGAGUAACGAGUAGAUUACGUACCCAGGGGUUCGGAAUAGCGGGGGGAAACCGCCGGUAAUGCCGAAUAAUGUCUCCGGACCAAAGAUUUAUUGCCCUUGGAGCGGUCUGCUUACUAUUAGCUUGUUGGUGUGGUAAUGGCGCACCAAGGCGAAGAUGGUUAGCGGGUGUGAGAGCAUGGCCCGUCUCACUGGGACUGAGACACUGCCCAGACACCUACGGGUGGCUGCAGUCGAGAAUCUUCCGCAAUGGACGAAAGUCUGACGGAGCGACGCCGCGUGCGGGAUGAAGGCCUUCGGAUCGUAAACCCCUGUCGAAUGGGACGAAAGACUCGCGAGUUAAUACUCCGCGAGAGUGACGGUACCGUAAAGA